GCGGUUCAUCAAUCCACCUUUAUAAAGGAGUUGUGUACUGGUGAGACAUCUAUUUUGAAACUCUAAGUUUAAGACAUCCAACCCUCUUGAUCUCUUAGUAUACAAAUUACCUCCCAUUUAGUUAAUCUAUAUCCACACGGUACUGAUAAAAAUACAAUCACGGUUAGACAUCAAGGAUGAAGGCAGCUUAGAUAUGUGUUGCAUGUAUUGCUUGGCGACAUCCAAGCAGCGAAUUGGGUGUUUCAUAGCCACAAAAUAAGUGUAUUUGAAUAACUUGUCAACAACCCACUGGUACACGACAGGCCUUUUGUCCCGGUCGAAAACCACUUGUAGUCCCGGGUGACGAGCCAGGACUAAGGGAUCGGGACUAAAAGUCCCACCUUUAGUCCUGGCUCUCCGACCCGGAACUAAAUGGGGACAUUUAGUCCCGGUUGGUAAUACCAACCGGGACUACAUGGGGCACCAGGCAGUUACGUGGCGCCACCCCUGGCCACCCCUUUUAGUCCCGAUUGGUAUUACCAACCGGGCCUAAAGGUUUUUUUUUGUUUUUGUUUUCUUUUUCUUUUUCCUUUUCAUUUCUUUAUUGAUUUUGGUUUUCAAUUGUAUAUGUUCUACAAUUUAAUCAUAUACGCCGCAAUUAUCCGUAUACGUUGCACCUAUACGAGAGCGUCAUUAUUGCACACAAAUAAAGUAUGAAACUACAUAUAUAUAUUAUCCGUAUAAUAUAUAAAUCUAUAUAUAUUAUAUAGCUAUAAACAUAUGUACAUACACAUUACAUUUACAAUAAUAAUAUUAUGUACAAGUAAUAAUCAAGUGUGCUGCCAACGGUUAAUGAUUACAUAAUGUUUGCCCGCCCACUCAAAGCUCAUACAAGUGUUCGUCCUUGUUUGGAAUUGGCUUGAAGCCCUGCGGGUAUAAGUGGAACUCGCCGUCUUCCGGAAUGACAUGAUCGUUGAUAAAUCCGGCGAUCGUCUCCUGGACUCCAAGUAGUAAUGUGUACUCGAACACUUUAUCUUUCAUAUUCCACUCCUUCUAUUUGCAUUAGUUAAAAAGAUAUUAAUAUACAUAAAAUCUAUUUAGUUCCAACAAAUAAAUAAGAUAUGAAUUUACUGUAUACACAUGCAUGUUACUAUUUUAGAACACUUUGAGUAGGUUUAAAUAGGGUGCACCGUAUAAAUUCACAAACAUAGUAUCUACAUAGAUUCGUUCCAAACGGCUGCGUGGGCACCCAAGGGAGUAGAACAGGAGGAGGAAGUGACACAUUCAGAUCCGUACGAUAUUUUUGUUGUAGCCAAGCCCAAGCCCUGCCCAAUAAGACGCUCGUUGAUUAGGUAUAGCUAGCAGAAUAAAGUAAAGGAGCACGCAUCGAUAUUUAAAGUAUGAUAUAUACUUACCUCUAGAUCAUGUCUGUUAUGUCUUGAUAGAGUGCCAGGUCUUUUUUUCAUUGAGUCCCACACAUGUAUUUUUUUUUCCGUGAUCUUAAUCUCAAUGAGUAUCCAAUGAUCUCUGCAUUUGUUUAGAGUCAACUUAUAUAUGUAUAUCUUAAUGCCGGAUUAACUAAGACAUGAUAUAACACAACACUUACCCCAUAUUGUAAGGAAAGAGUAUCUUCUCCGUAUGCCUUUGGUUAUAAAAGAACCUCCGGAGGUUCUUCUCCAUUUCCUUAGGCUUCAGAUUCAAUGGAUCUUUAGUUUUAGUGUCCUUGUACACGACAUAUGGAUCGAUUAAACCAAUUCGAUUGUCUUUUUUCAAUCUUUGUUCUCUCAUCAUGUGUCUGCACAUCGUGAGCGUAGUUAUUACGAAUACAUACAUAUGCUAUAAUGGGAUUAAUGAUUGAAAGGAAGAAUCACUUACAGA
rnacentral:lncRNA from 1 species